GAUGAACGCUGGCGGCGUGCCUAAUACAUGCAAGUCGAGCGAACAGAUAAGGAGCUUGCUCCUUUGACGUUAGCGGCGGACGGGUGAGUAACACGUGGAUAACCUACCUAUAAGACUGGGAUAACUUCGGGAAACCGGAGCUAAUACCGGAUAACAUAUUGAACCGCAUGGUUCAAUAGUGAAAGGCGGCUUUGCUGUCACUUAUAGAUGGAUCCGCGCCGUAUUAGCUAGUUGGUAAGGUAACGGCUUACCAAGGCAACGAUACGUAGCCGACCUGAGAGGGUGAUCGGCCACACUGGAACUGAGACACGGUCCAGACUCCUACGGGAAGCAGCAGUAGGGAAUCUUCCGCAAUGGGCGAAAGCCUGACGGAGCAACGCCGCGUGAGUGAUGAAGGUCUUCGGAUCGUAAAACUCUGUUAUCAGGGAAGAACAAAUGUGUAAGUAACUGUGCACAUCUUGACGGUACCUGAUCAGAAAGCCACGGCUAACUACGUG
rnacentral:rRNA from 1 species